GCUAGGGACCAAGGAAAUCACUUUCAAUUUUAUUAUUUUUAAAAAAUAUAUUACAUUGGUCCUCAUAAAAACUUAUUACAAAGUCAUCUUGCAUUUACCAAGAGAUAGAAAUAAGAUUCCUGUUUGCAACAGGUACAAAGUAAUAGUUUCUUAAAAUUAAAACAGCCCCUGAUGGUAGUCGAAGAGGGUAUGUCUCUACGGCU
rnacentral:lncRNA from 1 species